rnacentral:sRNA from 1 species
AUGCAAACAUUACUCCUUUAUUUGUCUAUGGUUGACUUAUCCGUCUAUGUUUACGUGUACUGGUUCACACUUAUCAGAGAAAGUUUUCUUUACAAACAUGUCAUCUAUUUUAUCCUCGAGUUCGUUUGAAUCAGAAUGAGAGAGGAUACCUAGGCAUUGUGCCUGCUGUUGGUCCAAUUCAAUAUAUUUAUAUAUAUUUGAAUACUUAUCAAAUUAAACCACAAGGGCCAUACUCAAUGUUAAUAUGCUAGCACAAUUGUGUCUGUGUAUGUCAUUUUGUGUAUCUGUGACGUGUUAAGUGUUACAUUUACAUAUAUUUUUCAAACAACGUGUUUGUUUAUGUUAAUUUUUUUUCUAGUCCUUAUUUGCUUUAAAAACAUUUUCCUUCUGUACUGGUUAACAUACAGUACUAUAGGCUUUAUUCAACAUUGAUUCAUUGAUGCUAUAUGUACUACUUGACAUAUUUGUGAGAAUACAAUUAAACAUGGCUUCUGUUC